GUCCCUUUUCUCUAGUUUCUCUAGUUAAAGAUAGUAUUUUUAUUUGGCUUACUUUAAUCAAUCGGGUUAAUUUCAAACCGCUACGAAGGGAACCAACUUGAUGAUCUCCUCACAAGUCUCCGCAGGAGCGUAGAGUUAGCAAAAGCUUCGAAACGGGAGCAACUGCAAGAUAAAAUGUGAUGAAGCAACAAUUUGCUAUUGGGGUUAACGAUGUCACUUGGGUGCUCGAGAGAAUGUCUGAAAGAGAAAAUCUUGAUUGAAACUCAUAACAUUAAGACACCUCCCAGAAGAGCUUCAUUGGCUCCACUCCAGGUGGGAGGAGGAGGAGGUGGUGGUGCCCUUGCCUACUGAGCCCGAGCUUUCGCCAUUGUUUAAUAAGUGUGAUGCCAUUCUUUGUGAUCCGCGCUUCAGAGAAUACGGGUAGCCCUAUUACUUCCUAAGGAAUGGACUCGAAAGGAUAACGGGUGAUUUCUUUCAUCAUCUUCACGAUGUCAAAUGCGGUCUUUGGAGGCGCUUCAAUAUGUUCGCUGAUGAAGUGGAUCGUGAGAUCCACCAGUAGCAGUUCGAUCACCACCGAGCAUAGAGUUAGCAAAAGCUUCGAAAGGGGAGCAAUUGCCAGAUAAAAUUUGGAUGAAGCAACAACUAACGCAACAAUUAGCGAUCGGAGAUAAUGAUGUCACCAAGGUGCUCGAGAGAAUGUCUGAAAGAGAAAAUUUUGCAGAUAAUGAUAGCAUUAAAAGACCACUUAGAAAAGCUCCCUUGGUUCCUC